GCUUCUAAUAAAUAAAUAAAUAGAAAUCAGAAUAUGUUGGAAUAGUGUCUAAGGCUGCAACUAUAUUAGGCAAGUAUAUGACCCGGUUGUGCAUGGUCCUUUUGGGUUGCCUUCACUAUAGCAACUUGAUAGGAUGAUUUAUUAAGAGAGAAUAAAUAUUAUUAAUAUAUUUAUGAGAAUAAUAUAAACAAUAAUAAUAUUGUUAUUUGAUUAAUAUAAGUCAUAGAAUAAACUGUCAAUUGUUUGAUAGUUAAACUUUAGACUGUAAAUCCAUAUUGGAUAGAUAGUGGACGGAUUCUAGAAGCUAUGGAUAGCUUCAAAUCGUCCAAGGUUAUCUAAGGAAUGGAUUUGGAUUGCUUUAAGAGAAGAUUAUCCAAUUAGGGUUUAAGUUGUAACCCUUAAGGAGUCUACAAGUAUAAAUAGACCCUAUGGCAAAGGGAAAUCGACACUUCAUCUAAAGUAGAGAACCCCUGGCCGAAUUCCCUCCCCUCUCCUCUCUCCCAAAUCAUCCUCCUUGCUAUUUGGUGUUUGUAAGCCAUUAGAGGAGUGACAAUUGUGACUCUAGAGCUCCAAGACAACAAGAUCAAACAAGAGAUUCAAAGGUAUGAUUCUAGAUCUGAUUUAGUAUUGUUAUUAUUCCUAAUUAGUCAUUAGAAGUCUUGGAUUCAAAGCAUGUUUAUUAGAAAGCCUAGAUCCAAGCAUUAGGGUUUUGCAUGCGCACAUAGGAAAGUUCUUAUGGCUAAAACCCAUCAGUGGUAUCAGAGCCUAGCUUGGUUUUCUGUAAAUUGUUGCUUGAUUAACUGAAACAAACCUGCAAAAUUCGAAUUUUUGGUUUCUGAGUCAUGGACUCGGCGAGUCUCAAAGUGGACUCGGCGAGUAGGCCUGACUCGGCGAGUCCAUUUGUGCACUCGGCGAGUCCAGGCGUCAGGAAUGGCCAGAUUCGGGAUUUCUUUGUGUUUAUCUUAUCUUAACUUACCAUAAACUAAUUAGAUCAACAUUAAUUCGUUUUUCUGAUAAAUAUAACUAUUAUCUUGAUCUAGUUAAAGGUAAUUAUCAACUAAUUAAAUAUUUAAUUUCCUUAUAUGAUAAUUAAUUAAUUAUUUUGAUUAUUUUGGUAAUUAUCUUUAAAAGAAAUCUUGAAUAAAUCAAAUAUAGAUAAUUAGGAUAUUAAUUGUUAAUUGGAAUUAUUUGUUAUUUGAUCCUCCAUGUUUUAAAUGUUUAAAACCUACCCUCAUGUUUUGAAAUUUACUUUUGUGAUUAAAAGUUUUAAUUUAGACAACUUAAAUUUCAAACCCUAGAUUUUAAAAGUUUUAAAAUACAACCCUAUACUAAUAUGAUAUUACUAGAAUAAUAUAUAUAUGUAUAACUAAAUGCUAGUCUUACCGUUAGUAGGCCUCAUUCACGAAGCCGAUCUAUAAGGUGGGUAUAAGGUUGCGGCCUAUAAAAUGGCGCUUAAUGGGUGUACACUCACACCCACCGCUUGCUUGAUUGGUGGAGGGUCGUUAGCCGAACGGGUAGGAUAGGGCAACCUCAUCCUCUCAUUAAAAGUAUAAUAAGAAAUAUAAAGUAACUACACAUUUUUUUAAAAUUUCCCAAUCCUAGUUACUUUAGGAAAAGUGAAUUGAUGCAAUCCCAUGAAAUUACACUUUGCACCUUGCUAAGAUGUUAGUGGAGCGUGUGUGGUUUACCGGCACACUAAUUGGUUCUAAGCGAAGGUGGCAAAGGGUGAUUCAUUGUUUAUCAUAGUUCGAUGGAGCGUGUGUGGUUUACCGGCACAUCGAAUAGGUGAUUGUUACAAUGAAGGCACCAUGUGAAUUUGCAUGGUAAUUCACACCCGCUUUGUGAUCCUCGGCAUCCCAGUCACAAACAAGAGGGGCAUAUCGAGAUUUAAACAUGCCAUUGAAUAGUUUCAAUGAAUCUCAUCCGAACCUAGGAAUUCUCAAAAACACUUAGGACUAAUAGUUUAAGUUUUGUGAUGGAGAAUUAGUGAAUCGUCAUUCACUUACCUUCAAUUUAUUUGCAUGUUAGAUUACGGCAUCCCUUUUCUAGUAUGUAAAUGUUAUUGUUGGAUCCUAGCCCUAAUUUUCUUAUUGGGUGAUAAUUAGGGAUUCUUAUUCUAAUCUAUCUUUGUCCUUUUCUAAUUGUAGAUGUCGAACGCAAACAACGCUGCUGCUAGUUCUUUCACGUUGAUGAGCCUUUGCCAAAAGGUCACCUUCGAUGGAACGAACUUUAGCGAAUGGAUAAGAUACAUUCGCACCAUUGCUCGCUAUGAGGAUAAGGAGUAUGUCCUCGAUGAGAAGCUCGAGAAAAUCAACCCCGAAAUUGCUACUCCCGCCGAAAUCACCGCCUUUGAAACUCAUGAGCGAGAUGCAACGAAGGUACAUUGCAUCAUGAUCGCCACCAUGAACUCCGAAUUCCAAAAGUCCUACGAGGACAUGUACCCGUACGAGAUGCAUCAAGACUUAUUGGAGAGGUACCACCAAAACGCGAGACAAGAGAGGUACGAGAUUUUCACUAACAUGAUUUCCGCGAAGAUGGGUCAUGGAGAAUCUCUUACCGUGCACUUGCAAAAGAUGCAAAGGUAUGUUGACCGCCUCCGCAAGUUAAAUGUUGACUUCGGUGAAGACUUGGCGAUCGACAUGGUGCUUCACUCUUUGCCUCCGAUGUACAACCAAUUUAGGAUGACCUACCACAUGAACAAAGAAGAGGUCACCCUAAGCAAGCUCCAAGGUCUCUUGAGGGUUGCUGAGAGCAACUUCAAGGACAAGUCUGUUGCACCUACUCCCAAUCCGCCCGCUGCUCCUGUCUUGGCUAUUGGACAAGGGAAGGGAAAGAAGAGGAAAGCUUCAUCGAAGAACUAUCGCAAGGUGAAAGCCCGAGAUGGUGCCUCUUCUAGUGGGACCAAAGUUGAUCCCGCCAAGCCCUGCUCUAACCCGAAGGAGGCAGAGUGCCACCACUGCCACAAGAUAGGACAUUGGAAGAGAAGCUGCCCGGAUUACCUGCAAGCAAUCAAAGAAGGAAAGAUCAAGCCAUCUUUCGCAGGUAUAUAUACAAUCAAAUCUAACGAUUCUAAUCAUGCUAUUUCUUGGGUUCUUGAUACCGGUUGUGGUUAUCACAUUUGUUCUAAUGUGCAGGGACUAAGAAGAAGUAGGGAUGUGGAGCAAGGAAGGAUCAAUCUAAUCAUGGGGAACAGAAGAUCGUCGCCUGUGACCAAGAUUGGAGUGUAUUCUUUAGUGCUUAGGAAUAGUUUGGUUUUAGAUUUGAACAAUUGUUGCUAUUCGCCAGAAAUGGCUAGAAACAUCAUUUCAUUUCAUGGUUUAUAUAGACAAGGAUUUAGAUUUUCUUUUAAUAAUGAGAAUGGUUCUAUUUUGGCUUAUCUAAAUGGUGUCUUUUACUUUGAAGCUAUACCAUGUAAUGGAAUAUAUGAAACCGUUAUGAUUGUUGAUAACUUAGGAAAUGAUGUUUUGAAUAUUGAUUCUUCCACUAGUAUGGAUAAAGCAUCCUUGUGGCAUUGUCGUCUUGGACAUGUCAACAAGAAACGCAUAGCCCAACUCCAAAAGGAUGGAGUGUUGGAGUCAUUCGACCUUAGGGAAGAUGACACAUGCGAGUCUUGUUUGCUUGGAAAGAUGACUAAGUCACCCUUCACGAGUACAUGUGAAAGGGGCGAGGGUCUAUUGGACCUAAUACAUACCGAUGUAUGUGGACCGUUUAGAUCAACCACGAAGGAUGGGAACCGCUUCUAUGUGACUUUUACCGAUGACUAUAGUAGAUAUGGGUAUAUCUACUUAAUCAAGCAAAAGUCAGAAACCUUUGAAAAGUUCAAAGAGUUCAAGAAUGAAGUGGAGAAUCAAUUGGGCAGGAAAAUCAAGAUGCUUCGAUCCGAUCGAGGAGGAGAGUACCUAAGUCUUGAAUUCCACGAUUAUCUCAAGGAGUGUGGAAUAGUUUCGCAAUUGACGCCUCCUAGGACACCGCAGUUGAAUGGUGUGGCAGAAAGGCGUAAUCGAACCUUAUUGGAUAUGGUUCGCUCUAUGAUGAGUCGUGCUUCACUACCUAUCUCUUUUUGGGGGUAUGCCUUAGAGACUGCCGCCCAUAUCCUUAACCGAGUCCCUACUAAGAAGGUUGCCAAAACACCUCACGAGAUGUGGACAGGGAAAGCUCCCUCGUUGGCACAUAUCAAGGUUUGGGGUUGCGAGGCUUUCGUAAGACGAGAUACUCACGACAAGCUUGAACCUCGAAGUGAGCGAUGUAUUUUCAUCGGCUACCCGCAGACAUCCUUUGGAUAUCUCUUCUAUAGACCGAAGGACAAUGUUGUCUUCGUUGCGAGGAGAGGAGUUUUCCGAGAGCGAGAACUCAUAAGCCAAGGAGACAGUGGGAGGCAAAUCGAGCUUGAAGAGAUUCAAGAGUCGAUAGAUGAAGGAACCUCUACCGCUGGCACUCAACCCGAGGAGGAAACUCCGGUUGAACCGAUUGACGAAUCCUUACCUCUUAGACGUUCCGAUAGAGUUAGAGUUCAACCCCAGUUUUAUGGUUUUCAUAUUACUACCGAAGGGGACACGUAUAUUAGUGAUGGUACACUAAUAAAUCUUGAUGAACCUAAUAGCUAUAAGGAAGCCAUGGCAGGCCCGGAGUCUGCAAAAUGGAAAGAGGCAAUGGAUAGCGAGAUCCAAUCCAUGUAUGAUAACCAAGUUUGGAAUUUGGUUGAUUAUGUGCCCGGACGUAAGACCGUUGGGUGCAAAUGGAUCUUCAAGAAGAAGACCGACGUGGAUGGAAACGUACACACAUAUAAAGCGCGAUUGGUUGCGAAGGGCUUUACUCAAACUCCCGGAGUUGACUAUGAUGAGACCUUCUCACCAGUUGCGAAGAUUAAAUCUAUUAGAGUGAUGCUAGCAAUUGCCGCAUUUCAUGAUUAUGAGAUUUGGCAAAUGGAUGUCAAGACCGCUUUCCUUAACGGAAAGUUGGCUGAGGAUGUUUACAUGGCUCAGCCAGAGGGGUUUGUGGAUCCGAAGCAUCCGAAUAGAGUGUGUAAGCUUGAGAAGUCCAUUUAUGGACUUAAGCAAGCGUCUCGCAGAUGGAAUCUUUGCUUCGAUGAGAAAGUCAAAGAGUUUGGAUUUGUACGAAGCGAAGACGAAUCUUGUGUAUAUGUCAAAGCCAGUGGGAGUAUAGUAAGCUUCCUCGUUCUAUAUGUCGAUGACAUAUUACUCAUAGGAAACGACAUCCCGACUCUGCAGGAGGUUAAGUCCUGGCUCGGGAAGUGCUUCGCUAUGAAGGACCUCGGAGAGGCUUCUUACAUUUUGGGAAUAAGGAUAGUAAGAGAAAGAAGUAAGAGACUAAUUGGACUUAGUCAGAAUACUUACUUAGAGAAGGUACUAAAACGUUUUAGUAUGGAAAACUCAAAGAAGGGAGAACUACCGAUACAAAGUAAUGCCAAAUUGAGUAAGACUCAAAGUCCGAGUACCGAAGCUGAGAUAGCAGAAAUGAGCCGAGUACCAUACGCUUCCGCAGUUGGCUCAAUCAUGUACGCUAUGACUUGUACUCGCCCUGAUGUAGCCUUCGCUUUGAGCAUGGUUAGCAGAUAUCAAGGGAAUCCUGGCAGAGCACAUUGGAUUGCGGUGAAGAAUAUCCUUAAGUACCUUCGGAGGACGAAGGAAUGGUUCUUAGUCCUCGGAGGGAGUGAUGACUUGAAGGUGCGAGGGUAUAGUGACGCCAGUUUUCAGACCGACAGGGACAACUACCGUUCGCAGUCGGGCUGGGUCUUUACCCUAAAUGGAGGAGCAGUGACAUGGAAGAGUUCCAAGCAGGAAACCGUAGCUGAUUCAACGUGCGAAUCAGAGUACAUUGCAGCGAGCGAAGCGUCGAAGGAGGCAAUAUGGCUAAAGAACUUCAUCGGUGAUCUUGGAGUUGUACCUGCCAUAAAGGAGCCCAUGGAGAUUUUCUGUGAUAACGAAGGAGCGGUUGCCUUGACCAAGGAACCGAGGGAUCAUGGUAGAUCAAGACAUAUCGACAGAAAAUAUCACUUCAUUAGACAUCGUGUAGAAGAAGGACAACUCGUAGUGAAGAGGAUAUCAUCAGAAGAUAACCCAGCAGAUCCGCUUACGAAGGGACUGAGUAGGGUUAAGCACUUGCAGCAUGCUAGGAGUAUUGGGCUGAAGGAUGAUAUUAGCAUAGAUUAGAUAGUAUUAGAAACGUGUAAUAGAUAAAUGUAAUUAACAUUUGAUGAUUAAAUAAAGGAGUUUUAUUUAUGAGUAAUGUUACUAUCUUAUGUUAAUUGUUUAACUAUUGUUUCACUUUGCAUGUUUUGACUUCCAGAAUAAUUGAGUUUAUUAGGAAUAAUCGAAUUGUUCAAAUUGUCCACAAUCGUUCAUAUGUUGGAAGUAGAUAUGAAUGAAGAUUGUCAUGAAUUGGUGUGUAGAUUGUCUAAAUGGUGUUAGACAUAGCAAAGGGUUGCUGCAACGUUCAUGAGUGCUUAUGAACUAGUUUUGAGCAUUGGAACAAACCCGCGCUUGCUGGAAUCACCUUAUGGAAUAUGAUAUAAAAGGGUGAUCGCAAGACGAUAAUAUCAUAUAGUCUUAAAACCUAGAUAUAUGGUUUGUUAUUUGUUAAUUGAUUGUACAUUGAUAAUGCGAAAACGCAUCAGUAACUCGGUGUUAUAAAACGUAUUGUUGUGUAUAGUUGGUUAAUGAAUAAGUAAAUGCAUAUAAGUCGAAGUUUAUCUGUAACUUUUAUCUAAGAAGGUAAAAGCGAUAUCUCGGCCGCUCGAUGAUUUGAUUUGACUUAUGUGCCGGGCCCGGUCAGAACUGAAUUGAUGUGUUCGAUUAAGUUCUAUGUCAAAUAAAUCAGAGAUCGAGAAACCUAAAUGCUUGACUAAUCAUUCCAUAGAAUUGUCAGCAUGAUAUCUAACAGAGGACUGUACGAUCCCUUAUCUAAAGGACAAGAUUGAUUAGAUCAGAGUUUGACAGCGUCUUUGAGAGCUACGAUUGCAAACCGAAUUGUACUUGUGCAUAUAGUUACUAGACUUAUCCAAGUGGGAGACUGUUGGAAUAGUGUCUAAGGCUGCAACUAUAUUAGGCAAGUAUUUGACCCGGUUGUGCAUGGUCCUUUUGGGUUGCCUUCACCAUAGCAACUUGAUAGGAUGAUUUAUUAAGAGAGAAUAAAUAUUAUUAAUAUAUUAUGAGAAUAAUAUAAAGAAUAAUAAUAUUGUUAUUUGAUUAAUAUAAGUCAUAGAAUUAAUUAGAAUUAAUUUGGUGACUUAAAGAGAUUAAUUAAAUAAGAGGGUAUAAACUGUCAAUUGUUUGAUAGUUAAACUUUAGACUGUAAAUCCAUAUUGGAUAGAUAGUGGACGGAUUCUAGAAGCUAUGGAUAGCUUCAAAUCGUCCAAGGUUAUCUAAGGAAUGGAUUUGGAUUGCUUUAAGAGAAGAUUAUCCAAUUAAGGUUUAAGCUGUAACCCUUAAGGAGUCUACAAGUAUAAAUAGACCCUAUGGCAAAGGGAAAUCGGCACUUCAUCUAAAGUAGAGAACCCCUGGCCGAAUUCCCUCCCCUCUCCUCUCUCCCAAAUCAUCCUCCUUGCUAUUUGGUGUUUGUAAGCCAUUAGAGGAGUGACAAUUGUGACUCUAGAGCUCCAAGACAACAAGAUCAAACAAGAGAUUCAAAGGUAUGAUUCUAGAUCUGAUUUAGUAUUGUUCUUAUUCCCAAUUAGUCAUUGGAAGUCUUGGAUUCAAAGCAUUUUUAGUUAGAAAGCCUAGAUCCAAGCAUUAGGGUUUUGCAUGCGCACAUAGGAAAGUUCUUAUGGCUAAAACCCAUCAGAAUAUAGUAAUUUACCUUUUGAUUUUUUAAACUUCAAACAACUCAAGAAUUAGAAUCUUCAAAACCUAGAAGCUGGAUUGACAAAUUUUUGAUUCUGAUAUCAAGAAAAUAGGAAUCAUAAUAAAUGAAUGAAAGGGAAAAACAAAUUUACUUAAAAUUUUGAGAUGAUAUUUGUGAGAAUAUACCAUUGUUUUCAAAUCUUGAUUUCUUCUUAUUAAAAAAAAUAUGAAUUCAACAAAAAAGAAACUUAAAUUAUU
rnacentral:lncRNA from 1 species